rnacentral:rRNA from 1 species
UACGGAGGGUGCAAGCGUUAUCCGGAUUCACUGGGUUUAAAGGGUGCGUAGGCGGAUAGGUAAGUCCGUGGUGAAAUCCUGCAGCUUAACUGCAGAACUGCCAUGGAUACUAUUUAUCUUGAAUGUCGUGGAGGUUAGCAGAAUAUGUCAUGUAGCGGUGAAAUGCUUAGAUAUGACAUAGAAUACCUAUUGCGAAGGCAGCUAACUACGCGAUAAUUGACGCUGAUGCACGAAAGCGUGGGGAUCAAACAGG